AUAUCAAUAAGCGGAGGAAAAGAAACCAACAGGGAUUGCCCUAGUAACGGCGAGUGAAGCGGCAACAGCUCAAAUUUGAAAUCUGGCUCUCUUUGGGGGUCCGAGUUGUAAUUUGCAGAGGAUGCUUUGGCAUUGGCGGCGGUCUAAGUUCCUUGGAACAGGACAUCGCAGAGGGUGAGAAUCCCGUACGUGGGCGCCUGCCUUUGCCGUGUAAAGCUCCUUCGACGAGUCGAGUUGUUUGGGAAUGCAGCUCUAAAUGGGAGGUAAAUUUCUUCUAAAGCUAAAUACCGGCCAGAGACCGAUAGCGCACAAGUAGAGUGAUCGAAAGAUGAAAAGUACUUUGGAAAGAGAGUCAAAAAGCAC
rnacentral:rRNA from 1 species